UCCUAGAUUGAGUAAAGUUAUAUCCAGCGAUCAUCUGAUUUCCUGUGUACUAGACUAAUUCAGGCAGUUGAUUCAAGCGUGAUUAUAAGGUCAUGCUUGUGUAAAAAAAUCUUAUUUCAUGACCUCACCAAGAGUAUAUAAGGCCUGGCAGAAGCAAUUCAACCGGCUAUCAUAAGGCAGAGAACGAGCUAUUAGGUUCUUUUCAAAGACUAUUCUGUGUUCUUUGUUACAACCGCUGUUACCAGAUUCUAAAUUAGUAAACGUAACAGAAAACUGCCAUGAACCUUGAAUUCAUAUUUCUUGGUAGCAUUGUGCUUGCAACCAUUUUUGUCUUCCUGAAGAUUUUACUAGAGGAUACUUUGCCAUAAAGAUCACAGACAUUGCUGGAGAAUACCGCUGAAGUUCUCUAGAUAACACUAUAUGAAUGGACACCAAAGUUACCAUCUCAUAUAGCUGUAAGGACAACACCUUCUAUAUAAAACAAGAACAAUGCUGAGACUCUUCUGGUGAACAAUUUCAAUCAUAUUAUGGUGACUACAUCACAUAUUCAAUAGCCAUGUUCUGGGAAAUUCUAAUUCGUUUGGACAUCAUAGAAUGACUACUGGCUCGAAUAAAGAAAAAUAAAGUCCUUCUGUGAGAAACCCAUUAUUCCACUUAAAUGCUAAGCAGAUACAUACUAUGGAUGUCACAAUAGACACAGUGU
rnacentral:sRNA from 1 species